rnacentral:rRNA from 1 species
GACGAACGCUGGCGGCGUGCUUAACACAUGCAAGUCGAACGGAAAGGCCCUGCUUUUGUGGGGUGCUCGAGUGGCGAACGGGUGAGUAACACGUGAGUAACCUGCCCUUGACUUUGGGAUAACUUCAGGAAACUGGGGCUAAUACCGGAUAGGAGCUCCUGCUGCAUGGUGGGGGUUGGAAAGUUUCGGCGGUUGGGGAUGGACUCGCGGCUUAUCAGCUUGUUGGUGGGGUAGUGGCUUACCAAGGCUUUGACGGGUAGCCGGCCUGAGAGGGUGACCGGCCACACUGGGACUGAGAUACGGCCCAGACUCCUACGGGAGGCAGCAGUGGGGAAUAUUGCACAAUGGGCAGAAGCCUGAUGCAGCAACGCCGCGUGCGGGAUGACGGCCUUCGGGUUGUAAACCGCUUUCGCCUGUGACGAAGCGUGAGUGACGGUAAUGGGUAAAGAAGCACCGGCUAACUACGUG